rnacentral:lncRNA from 1 species
ACACAUUGUGCACAUAAACAAAACAAAACCACAAAUUCUUCCAAACUCUGUAAUACAACACAUUUUUUGAACACAAAUUUUCAAAUUCUACAAUACAACACUAAUAAUUUUACAAAUCCAUUCUAGUCUUUUUUCGAAGCUUCCUUGAUUUCUUCUUAAUUCUUGUAGCCAUGUUGGAUAUAGACUUUGAUUGUUUUUUCACAACAUUGACAUCAUCAUUAAAUGAAGUGUUAUGUCCCGCAUCUCCAACAGAAGUUCCUACGUCAUCUUCAUCGAUAAAAUUCACAAUUUAUCGAUAAUCAUGUACAGCCUCAUCCUCAAAUGGACUGCUAAAUCUCGCAUCUUUCAUCAUCCUCAUUUCAUUCUCAAGAACUGGUGUUCUCGUUUUGAAAUUUUUAUUCAAGCCACCAAUCUUUGAUAAUUAUUAAUAUCCACAAAACAAAACCAUAAUAACACCAGAAUCAGUAUAUACAACUAAAGUUGAUAAACCAUAACCCUUAAAACGCACCAAGACAGAAAAAUAAAGACACUUGAAUUGAAAGAAUAAAUCCUAAACCUUUAUUCCUUUUUCAAUUUCCCCCUUUCAACAACAAAAUAAACAAAAAUAAAAAGGAACGGAGAAAAGGGAAUAAAGGGAGAGAAGAAAUCACAAUAAUGAAGAACAUCACACCAAAACACAUUUAACAUAAUUGUACCUAAAUUCAAUUUCAUUUCUACAAAGUCAAUUUCAGCACGAAAUCAAAAAUUGAAAAUCAAUUAAAGAAGGAGAGUAUAGAAGGACGAAAAAAAAGAAAACACAACUCACUCUUAUCUAAAAUCACCUUCAAGUUGCAAUUUCAACCACAACUCCACCACAUACCACCACUGCAUUCCCUAUCAAGAUAAUCAUCGAUGAAAUAAUACACUGUCAAGAGAGAGUGUCUUUCAUGUGUUGAGAGAGAGCGUCAUCCAUGAGACAGAACACUAUCGAGAGAGAGCGACCUUCGUGCGUAGAGAGAGAGAGAGAGAGAGUGUUGUGGAUGAGAGAACACAUCGUCGAGAGAGAGCACCGUCGAUGAGAAAAAAGAGCACCGUCGUUUUGAAAUUAAGAGAGAGAGAGAGAGAGAGAGAGAGAGAGAGUUGUUUCUUCUGUGAGAGAAGUGAUAUAUCGUCUAAGAGAGAAAUUGGAAUUAAGUUAACCUUAAC